UUCAAAAAAACCAAGAGCCAUUAGAGUUCUUUUGAGCACUUUCAUGAUCACUGUAAUUAGAUGAAAUGGCCAUAAAAGAGAGAAACACAAGAGACAAAGAAACACAGGGAAGGGAGCUGUCGCCUUAUCUGGUGAAGAAGACUGAUGGUCCGAUUCGUCAGCCAUAUUGCAGGCUAAUCCAUGUGACUCUUUGGUGAUGGUAUGUAUAGUUACAAUGAUGUCUGCAAUGCUUAGUGAAACGUUUAACUGGAAUGUAAUAAAAUCCUUUCACAAUGUAAUUGGCUUUCCUCUCAACUAUUGUUCUUAUGUUCAAAUAUUUACACACCUCUGAAACGACAAAACUACAUAUACCAUACCCAUCCACAUAUAAUCUAGUGAUAAAAAAAUUAAAUAGAUGAAAGUUCACAAUGAAUUCGUUUAUUUUUUUCCCCCUGAGUUUAUUGUAAUAGGAAGGCAUGAGUUCAAAUUCUAUUUAGAAUAUCCUAAGAUAAUUGAAGAAAGGAGCCUACAUCAACUUAUACUUUAUCUAAGUCACCUUGAAGUGACUCUGAUGUUUCACCUGAAGCUGCAUUUUUGGAAUUCAAGGGGCUUGUAAAAUCUCUAAAUGAUAUACAACUUAUUGCAGCUUUAUGUCCCCUUAAAAUUUUUAUUUUGACAUGGUCAAGCAAUCUUAGAGUAUAUUUGUCAUCUUCUUCUCUAGUUCUAAAUAUGGAGUGGCCUGUGGAAUUUGACCUAAAAAAUCUUUCCACUCCUUCACGUUUCUUGUGAUGUUCUUUUGUGGUUGAAGAGCUUUGUGCUUCAUCAGCUUUCUCCUUGUUAUCUUCUCUAAUCUCAAUGCAAACAGCAUUUUGUAGAGGACUUUGAUUUGCCCCAAUUUGAUGCAUGGAAUUACUCUGAAGCAGCACAGGAGAUUUCUCUAACGAUUUCCUAGGCACGUCUAGCUCGCCACGACAAACCGGGCAUGUUUUAUUCGAUUCAAGCCAAAGAUCGGCACAUUCUUUGUGGAAAACAUGGCAACAAAUCGUCAAAAGUCGAAGCGUAUC
rnacentral:lncRNA from 1 species